GAGGUGUGUGUGUGUGUGUGUGUGUGUGUGUGUGUGUGUGUGUUUCUCUUUCUCCACCUGCAGAUCAGGUUAGAUCAGUUUAGAUCGUGUUAGAUCAGGUUAGAUCAGUUUAGAUCGUGUUAGAUCAGGAUAGAUCAGGUUCGGAUGCAAAUUCUCUGAUUCUAUUUGCCCAUAAUUUUUCCAUAGUUCUCUAAAAUGAAAAUCCUUUUGCAAGUGUGUGUCAGUCAGGUUCUGCAAUCAUGUCAGAGCAAACAGGCUACAGAGUGUCUGAUAAUAACAGCUAACCACUUCCUUCCUUCCUUCCCCACUUAAAAAAGAGAGUUAGAAACUGUUCAGAGCUGCAGUAGUCUAGUGCACCUGGCUUGACUCCAUGAACAUGUCGUCUGCCUCCCAAAUGGCACCCUAUUCCUUAUGGGUCCUGGUCCAAAGUAGUGCACUAUAUAGGGAAUAGGGUGCCAUUUGGGACACAGAUUUCACUCACCUCUAGUGCCCUCACCAGGACAGUCCAGCUGUCUCACUGUUAAACUGGGACAUUAGUGUUCAUUAGGGCACAGCAUAGCAAAAUAUGUGUUAAUGAAAGAUGUGUAUAAAUAUGCGUGUCUGGCCUCAGAAAAGCAUUAUUGAAAAAGAAGACUGGUUCACAGGUAUCUGUACAGGGAUGCAUUAAGAUGGUUGACUGUUCCUUUUAUAAAGUAGAUGAGAUUUGUCAUUUUUCUAGUGUGGGCAGCAGUGACUGAAUAUGCCAGUGAACAGAUGUUAUUCCAGGUAUCUUUUAAUAGUGACGUGUAUAUUAAUUCUCAGUCAUAACUGAGGCUGCGUCCGAAAUUGCACCCUAUUCCCUAUAUAGUGCACUAGUGACCAGAAGUAGUGCCCUGUAAAGGGAAUUGGGUGUCAUUUGGGACGCAGCCUCAGUUAUGACUGAGAAUUAAUAUACACGUCACUAUUAAAAGAUACCUGGAAUAUUCAUGUCAGUCUGGUUGACGAGGCUAUAUUCACCGUUCUUUCUCCACUUUAACACUAACAGUCAAAUAUUCACAAUUACCCACGUUUAGAAUCAUGAGAGGCUGCAAUGAAAGCAACAUGGAGGAUUCUGUUGCUAUUUCCUACGUAUGUUUGUGUUGAAGCUGUAUAAAAUCUCCGGCUAUUCUUUCUCUUUACUGUCUUUGUGUAAGUAUAAUGUAUACACACUCUCCUCCUUACUCUCCCAAAUAACUGCUAUAUUUUGUAAUAAAAUAAAAGCUGGCCAUCUUUA